rnacentral:rRNA from 1 species
AUUGAACGCUGGCGGCAGGCCUAACACAUGCAAGUCGAGCGGAUGAAGGGAGCUUGCUCCUGGAUUCAGCGGCGGACGGGUGAGUAAUGCCCAGGAAUCUGCCUGGUAGUGGGGGAUAACGUCCGGAAACGGGCGCUAAUACCGCAUACGUCCUGAGGGAGAAAGUGGGGGAUCUUCGGACCUCACGCUAUCAGAUGAGCCUAGGUCGGAUUAGCUAGUUGGUGGGGUAAAGGCCUACCAAGGCGACGAUCCGUAACUGGUCUGAGAGGAUGAUCAGUCACACUGGAACUGAGACACGGUCCAGACUCCUACGGGAGGCAGCAGUGGGGAAUAUUGGACAAUGGGCGAAAGCCUGAUCCAGCCAUGCCGCGUGUGUGAAGAAGGUCUUCGGAUUGUAAAGCACUUUAAGUUGGGAGGAAGGGCAGUAAGUUAAUACCUUGCUGUUUUGACGUACCAACAGAAUAAGCACCGGCUAACUUCGUG